GAGGGUACAGCUCAGUGGCAGAGUGAGUGCUUAGUGUGCACGAGGUCCUGGGUUCAAUCCCCAGUACCUACU
rnacentral:tRNA from 1 species